rnacentral:rRNA from 1 species
GACGAACGCUGGCGGCGUGCUUAACACAUGCAAGUCGAACGGAAAGGCCCUGCUUUUGUGGGGUGCUCGAGUGGCGAACGGGUGAGUAACACGUGAGUAACCUGCCCUUGACUUUGGGAUAACUUCAGGAAACUGGGGCUAAUACCGGAUAGGAUCUCCUGCUGCAUGGUGGGGGUUGGAAAGUUUCGGCGUUUGGGGAUGGACUCGCGGCUUAUCAGCUUGUUGGUGGGGUAGUGGCUUACCAAGGCUUUGACGGGUAGCCGGCCUGAGAGGGUGACCGGCCACCUUGGGACUGAGAUACGGCCCAGAAUCCUACGGGAGGCAGCAGUGGGGAAUAUUGCACAAUGGGCGGAAGCCUGAUGCAGCAACGCCGCGUGCGGGAUGACGGCCUUCGGGUUGUAAACCGCUUUCGCCUGUGACGAAGCGUGAGUGACGGUAAUGGGUAAAGAAGCACCGGCUAACUACGUG